GACGUAGGGCGCAAGCGUUGUCCGGAAUUAUUGGGCGUAAAGAGCUCGUAGGCGGCUUGUUGCGUCGACUGUGAAAAACCACGACUCAACCGUGGGACUGCAGUCGAUACGGGCAGGCUAGAGUUCGGUAGGGGAGACUGGAAUUCCUGGUGUAGCGGUGAAAUGCGUAGAUAUCAGGAGGAACACCGGUGGCGAAGGCGGGUCUCUGGGCCGAUACUGACGCUGAGGAGCGAAAGCGUGGGGAGCGAACAGG
rnacentral:rRNA from 1 species